AUGCAAGUCGUACGAGAGUUUUUAACUCAAGUGGCGGACGGGUGAGUAACACGUAAGAAUUUGCCUUUAGGAGGGGGACAACAAUGAGAAAUUAUUGCUAAUACCCCAUAUGCUUUCGAGUGAAAUGGAUUUUUUCCGCCUAGAGAGAAGCUUGCGGCUGAUUAGCUUGUUGGUGAGGUAAUGGCUUACCAAGGCGACGAUCAGUAUCUGGUUUGAGAGGACGAUCAGACACACUGGAACUGAGACACGGUCCAGACUCCUGCGGGAGGCAGCAGUGGGGAAUUUUCCGCAAUGGGCGAAAGCCUGACGGAGCAAUCUCGCGUGAGGGAUGACUGCCUAUGGGUUGUAAACCUCUUUUUUCAGGGAGGAAUAAAUGACGUGUACCUGAAGAAUAAGCAUCGGCUAACUCCGUGCCAGCAGCCGCGGUAAUACGGGGGAUGCAAGUGUUAUCCGGAAUCACUGGGCGUAAAGCGUCUGUAGGUGGUUUAAUAAGUCAACUGUUAAAUCUUGAAGCUCAACUUCAAAAUCGCAGUCGAAACUAUUAGACUAGAGUAUAGUAGGGGUAAAGGGAAUUUCCAGUGGAGCGGUGAAAUGCGUAGAGAUUGGAAAGAACACCGAUGGCGAAGGCACUUUACUGGGCUAUUACUGACACUCAGAGACGAAAGCUAGGGUAGCAAAUGGGAUUAGAUACCCCAGUAGUCCUAGCUGUAAACAAUGGAUACUAGAUGUUGAACAGAUCGACCUGUGCAGUGUCAAAGCUAACGCGUUAAGUAUCCCGCCUGGGAAGUAUGCUCGCAAGAGUGAAACUCAAAGGAAUUGACGGGGGCCCGCACAAGCGGUGGAGCAUGUGGUUUAAUUCGAUGCAACGCGAAGAACCUUACCAGGGUUUGACAUGAUACGAAUUUCUUUGAAAGAAGGAAAGGCCAUUUAUGAACGUAUACACAGUGUGCAUGACUGUCGUCAGCUCGUGUCGUGAGAUGUGGGUAAGUCCCGCACGAGCGCAACCUCAUUUUAGUGCUAUGUACUCUAGAAAGACUGCUGGUAUAAUCGAGAAGGCGGGAUGACGUCAGUCAGCAUGUCCUUAACCUGGGGCUAACCACGGGGCUACAAUGGGGUGGAGACAAUGAGGAAGCUAUUCUCUCGCUGGGGA
rnacentral:rRNA from 1 species